GAUGAACGCUGGCGGCGUGCCUAAUACAUGCAAGUCGAGCGAACAGAUGAGAAGCUUGCUUCUCUGAUGUUAGCGGCGGACGGGUGAGUAACACGUGGGUAACCUACCUAUAAGACUGGGAUAACUCCGGGAAACCGGGGCUAAUACCGGAUAAUAUUUUGAACCGCAUGGUUCAAUAGUGAAAGACGGUUUCGGCUGUCACUUAUAGAUGGACCCGCGCCGUAUUAGCUAGUUGGUAAGGUAACGGCUUACCAAGGCGACGAUACGUAGCCGCCCUGAGAGGGUGAUCGGCCACACUGGAACUGAGACACGGUCCAGACUCCUACGGGAGGCAGCAGUAGGGAAUCUUCCGCAAUGGGCGAAAGCCUGACGGAGCAACGCCGCGUGAGUGAUGAAGGUCUUCGGGUCGUAAAACUCUGUUGUUAGGGAAGAACAAAUUUGUUAGUAACUGAACAAGUCUUGACGGUACCUAACCAGAAAGCCACGGCUAACUACGUGCCAGCCGCCGCAGUAA
rnacentral:rRNA from 1 species